GUCCAUUCCCACCAUUUUGGGUCCAUUUGGGGUCCAUUUCCCCCCAUUUAGGGCCAUUUUGGGCCCAUUUCCCCCAUUUAGGGCCAUUUUGGGCCCAUUUCUCCCCAUUUUGGGGUCAAUUCCCCCCAUUUUGGGUCCAUUUCCCCCAUUUAGGGCCAUUUUGGGGUCAAUUCCCCCCCAUUUAGGGCCAUUUGGGGCCCAUUUCCCCCCAUUUAGGGCCAUUUUCCCCCAUUUAGGGCCAUUUUGGGCCCAUUUCUCCCCAUUUUGGGGUCAAUUCCUCCCAUUUGGGGUCCAUUUCCCCCCAUUUAGGGCCAUUUUGGGGUCCAUUUCCCCCCAUUUAGGGCCAUUUUGGGGUCAAUUCACCCCGAUUUGGGUUCAUUUCCCCCCAUUUAGGGCCAUUUGGGGUCCAUUUCCCCCUAUUUUGGGGCCAUUUUGGGUCCAUUCACCCCCAUUUCCCCCAUUUUGGGUCCAUUUUCCCCCAUUUAGGGCCAUUUGGGGCCCAUUUCCCCCCAUUUAGGGCCAUUUUGGGGUCAAUUCACCCCCAUUUCCCCCAUUUUGGGUCCAUUUCCCCCCAUUUAGGGCCAUUUGGGUCCAUUUCCCCCCAUUUAGGGCCAUUUUGGGGCCGUUUUGGGGCCGUUCGGACCCUUUUAUCCCCCCC
rnacentral:lncRNA from 1 species